rnacentral:rRNA from 1 species
AACGAACGCUGGCGGCAUGCCUAACACAUGCAAGUCGAACGAGACCUUCGGGUCUAGUGGCGCACGGGUGCGUAACGCGUGGGAACCUGCCCUUAGGUUCGGAAUAACUCCCCGAAAGGGGUGCUAAUACCGGAUAAUGUCUUCGGACCAAAGAUUUAUCGCCUUUGGAUGGGCCCGCGUUGGAUUAGCUAGUUGGUAGGGUAAAAGCCUACCAAGGCGACGAUCCAUAGCUGGUCUGAGAGGAUGAUCAGCCACACUGGGACUGAGACACGGCCCAGACUCCUACGGGAGGCAGCAGUGGGGAAUAUUGGACAAUGGGCGAAAGCCUGAUCCAGCAAUGCCGCGUGAGUUAUGAAGGCCUUAGGGUUGUAAAGCUCUUUGACCCGGGAUGAUAAUGACAGUACCGGGAGAAUAAGCUCCGGCUAACUCCGUG